GCGGACUACGCGGGUUUCUAAUCCCGUUCGCUCCCCUAGCUUUCGCGUCUGAGCGUCAGGAAUGGUCCAGGAGGCCGCCUUCGCCACUGGUGUUCCUCCCGAUAUCUACGCAUUUCACCACUACACCGGGAAUUCCACCUCCCUCUACCACCCUCUAGUCCGACAGUAUUGAACGACCUCUCCCAGUUGAGCCAGGAGAAUUCACAUCCAACUUACCGAACCGCCUGCACGCGCUUUACGCCCAGUAAAUUCGGAUAACGCUCGGAUCCUACGUUUUACCGCGGCUGCUGGCAC
rnacentral:misc_RNA from 1 species